GAUCAUGGCUCAGGAUGAACGCUAGCGGCAGGCUUAACACAUGCAAGUCGAGGGGCAGCGGAUGUAGCAAUACAUUGCCGGCGACCGGCGGAUGGGUGCGUAACGCGUAUGCAACCUACCUUAUACAGGGGAAUAACCUUUCGAAAGGGAGACUAACACCCCAUGGUAUUGAUUUAAGGCAUCUUAGAUUAAUUAAAUAUUUAUAGGUAUAAGAUGGGCAUGCGUAUGAUUAGCUAGUUGGUAAGGUAACGGCUUACCAAGGCGACGAUCAUUAGGGGUUCUGAGAGGAAGGUCCCCCCACACUGGUACUGAGACACGGACCAGACUCCUACGGGAGGCAGCAGUGAGGAAUAUUGGUCAAUGGGCGCAAGCCUGAACCAGCCAUGCCGCGUGCAGGAAAAGACGGCCUUAUGGGUUGUAAACUGCUUUUACAUAAGACUAACCGUAUAUUUGCGAAUAUACCUGAAUGUAUUAUGAGAAUAAGGAUCGGCUAACUCCGUGCCAGCAGCCGC
rnacentral:rRNA from 1 species